rnacentral:snRNA from 1 species
GGAUGUGAGGGUUAUCUGUCAUCCCACCAAUUGCCUGGGUUGAUUUGGCUGAUCUGGCUGGCUUGGCGGUGUCCUCUUCCUCACACCUCCAUGUGGGUCCUUCCCCAAGCUGCAUGCUUGUUUGAAGAGGAUGGCCUUCCCCAAGUAGAGGAGGACCAGUCUUUGGUCAGGGGUACAAGAGUAGCUGCACUCUUCUGCUAGAACCUCCAAACAAGCUCUCAAGAUAGCAACAAAACUAGCAAGUGCUACAAAAAUCAAGAAUCGCAGGAAUAAUACACUGUCAAUGAUAAUUC